CCUGCACAGAGCUUCCGUUAGCUCCCCCGAACUAAGCUCUACAGUGCAGUGUUGGCUCAUUGUCUGGUGCCUCGUUUGAUCCUUUAAUAGCAGUCACAGAAUCCAAAAUAGCUACACAAAAGUAUAUAUCUGUAGAAAGAGCUGCCUCUAAUGCUGCAGAUUCAUGCUGUAGCUGCCGAUCGCACAAUGUAUAGUACUGGGCAUCAUGCAAA